CCCGCUCAGAAACUUAAAUGAAUUGACGGGGGCCCGCACAAGCGGAGGAGCAUGUGGUUUAAUUCGAUGAUACGCGAGGAACCUUACCUGGGCUCGAACGUAAGAUGACUGUAGGUGAAAGCUUACAUCUCUUCGGAGCAUUUUACGAGGUGCUGCAUGGUUGUCGUCAGCUCGUGCCGUGAGGUGUCGGGUUAAGUCCCAUAACGAGCGCAACCCUCAUCAUUAGUUACCAUCAGGUAAGGCUGGGGACUCUAAUGAGACUGCCAUCGUAAGAUGUGAGGAAGGUGGGGAUGACGUCAAAUCAGCACGGCCCUUACGUCCGGGGCGACACACGUGUUACAAUGGGUGGUACAAAGGGCAGCUACCUGGCGACAGGAUGCUAAUCUCGAAAACCGCUCUCAGUUCGGAUCGGAGUCUGCAACUCGACUCCGUGAAGCUGGAUUCGCUAGUAAUCGCGCAUCAGCCACGGCGCGGUGAAUACGUUCCCGGGCCUU
rnacentral:rRNA from 1 species